UACUACGGACAUUCCACCCGGAACGCACCUGAUUUCGUCUGAUCUCGGAAGCUAAGCAGGGUCGGGCCUGGUUAGUACUUGGAUGGGAGACCUUUCAAAAUAUAAAUAAGCACAUAUUUC
ensembl:rRNA 5S_rRNA 5S ribosomal RNA